AUGGCUGGGGAGGAAGCUGAAGAUUUCCUUUCUAGGUAUUUUGCCCAUACUUUGGGCACAUGGCCACCAGGUACACACCUCUUCAAGGCCAGUCUUGAGUCCUGCCUUAAAAGAGUCCAUACAUCCAUCAAGAGAAGAAUGGAUAAACUGAUGCAUCCGUACAGUGAAAUAUUACUGUUGGAGAAAAUGGGGACCAGGACUGUAAAUCUCUUGAGCAGACAAAGCCAGUUAAGUCAUGGACACAAACUUGACCUAGAUAAGCUAAACUUAACUUGGGCUAUUUUUUGUAAAUACCUGCAUUAACGCAAAAUGAAGUUUAAGUUCAAUCAGAAGUCACCAACUAACUUACAUAAGGGACUUUCCAGUGGUGGGGGGAGACCAAAUAAGGCAACUACACAAUCAUAACCAAGCCAUUAUUUUCUUUGCCUUGCUUCCAAGUUACAAAAGCCUUUUCCUUGCAUUCCCUUGGUAGAGCCCUGAACCACUUUUGGUUUGGAGCUGCCCAAUUUGUGAAUUGCUGUUUGCUGAAAUAAACUCUAUAAACAUUUAACAGGACUUAUCUUUUAACACUAUAUAGUAAUAAAAAGGAACAAACCACUGAUACCUGGAACAACUUGGGUAAAACUCAAAUAAAUCAUGCUGAAAUAAGCCAUACAGGAUGCACAAGAGUGUAUCCUAUAUGAUUCUAUUAUAUGAAGUUUAGAAACAGGAAAAACUAACCUAUAAUGAGAAAAAAAAAUAGUGGUUACCUCUGGGGGUUGGGGUUGAGGACUGACUAAGAGGGAGUUUUCUAGGGUGAUAGAGAUUGGGUUAUAGAAAGGUGUAUGUCAUUAUGAAAACCUGUAGGAUGUUUAUCCUUUUUUUUUUUUUUUUUUUUUUUUUUGAGACGGAGUCUCGCUCUGUCGCCCAGGCUGGAGUGCAGUGGGGGCGAUCUCCGCUCACUGCAAGCUCCGCCUUCCGGGUUCGCGCCAUUCUCCUGCCUCAGCCUCCCAAGCAGCUGGGACUACAGGCGCUGCCACCUCGCCCGGCUAAUUUUUUUUUUUUUUUUUUUUUUUUUUUUUUUUGGUAUUUUAAGUAGAGAUGGGGUUUCACCGUGUUAGCCAGGAUGGUCUUGAUCUCCUGACCUCAUGAUCCGCCCGUCUCGGCCUCCCAAAGUGCUGGGAUUACAGGCUUGAGUCACCGCGCCCGGCCAGGAUGUUUAUCCUUAAGAUCUGCAUUUCAUGAUGUAAAUUUUACCAAAAAAGCGAACUACAGUUAAUAGGCAAGCUGAAGAAUGUAGGCAUGAAGAAUACUGAUAUCUGUAACUUUAAAAUGCAUCAAAAUAUAGGAUGGAUAGAUGGAUGGCUCCAUAUAUGAUAAAGCAGAGAUAGCAAAGUGUUAAUGAUAGAAUCUAGGUGAUAGUUAAAUGGGUGCUUACUGUACAAUUCUGUCAACCUUUCCGUGUGCUUGAAUUACUCAUUAUAAAAUGCUGAGUGGUAUGGCGUGGUGGGGGAGGGGGAGGAAUCCCUAGUCUGUUUUGUCAAUUCACCUAUAAAAGUAAAGACAACUGGCAGUGAGAAGUCAACCUGUGGACAGUGAUAGUUAACUGGAAGCCUCCUAACUCCUUGUCUCUGGCCUUUUGAAGGGGACCAUGACUAGGCACUGAAAAGGAGGCAGUCUAAUUCAGGAUCCCUUUCCCAAAUUACUUUAGCUGGUAGGUGCUGAAAAAAAUAUCUUUUCCCUCCAGCUUUUCCUGACUUCCAGCAUCAUGAAGUCUUUUCUUCCUUGCAGACGAAACUCUGUCCCUUUAGGUUUUGUCUUGUGUUUGUCUUUGUGUUAGGGCUCCUAGGCAAAGUAGAGACCAUCUCAUUUUUUCUUCUAAUUAGAUUUCACAUUUGAUUACUUACUACAAAGCUAUUUGAAAUAUCACACACCAAUGUGUUUUAUCCUUUUUUUUUUUUUUUUUUUUUAAGAAAAAGUUUAACAGAAAUGUCACUAUAUUUACAGAGUAACUUCCUGGCACACAUCAGGUCAGCUGGGGAACAGAAAGGGCAGGAGCAGAUCAUUAGAAAUGGUCAUUAAAGUAAUUCUCCUUGGUAACAAGAACAGCACUUCAUGUAGCUUAUAGGCCUUCUUUCUUCUGUUUGGCUAGAAGCUUUAUCCCCCUUUAACCUCGUGGUGGCAGGGGCCUGUAGUAACAUCUUGGGCCGGGCGCAGUGGCUCAUGCCUGUAAUUCCAGCACUGUGGGAGGCCGAGGCAGGUGAUCAUUUGAGACCAGCCCGGCCAACAUGGUGAAACCUCU
rnacentral:lncRNA from 1 species